rnacentral:lncRNA from 10 species
AGUUGGCCGGCCAGGGUGUAGAGGAAUAGCACUGUCUUCAUUGCUCGUAGAAAUCCAAAAUGGUCUGAACCCCGUGGAAGAGAAUUGAGCAAUAUCUAUUUAACUUAUGUAUGGAUUCGCCUUUUGACCCCGUCAUCCCACUUCCAGGAGUGUGUUACGAAGAUCUGCUGAUGAAAAUAAGUAAUGCACACGGCAGAGGGCAUUCAUGGACUCACUAUUUGCAACAGCAUAGGACUGGCUGGAAAUAGCACCUGUCAGUUGGGAGUGGAGUUUCCUGAGAGAAAGUCGCUGGGGAGGUCUGAAAAUACAGAAGUUAAAAUCAGUUAUGAUUUGUAAAUGCGGUUGAAUAACCCUCCCCUUCUCCUCUACAGCUGUGUCUUCAAAGGCUUAUAUGUCAGGGAAGGUGGUGAAGACAUAAAGACAGAAAUUAGGUGCAUGUGUUAAUUAGGCAAUUUCAAAUAGUUCUGUCAUUUAUUUAAUGAGAAACUAUUCGUAAGCACCAACACUUCUAAGAACAAUGAAAAUAGUUAGAGGAAACAAUUUCUGCUCUCAUGCAUGGUGCAUUCUAGUUGGUAGAAAGCAGACAAUAAACAAAUUAAUAUUUAACAUGUCAAGGAAUGUAACUAGUUUUGAAGGAAGUUAAAAGGUGAGGGAUAGAGAGUGAUGGGCAUGGGGAUGGGGUUGCUGUAUUAAUUAGGGUAAAUAAACGAUAAAUAAAUAGAAAAUAUAUUUUCUCCUCAUGAUUUUCUUAAUAACAGUUUCUUUUCUCUAGCUUUCUUUAUUGUAAAAAUACAGUAUUUAUCUAAAUACAUAU